rnacentral:rRNA from 1 species
CGGCAGUGCGGCAGCUUACCUGCAGUCGUACGAAUGGAUUUUGGCUUGCCAAAAUUUAAUGAGUGGCGGACGGGUGAGUAACACGUAAGAACCUACCUUUUGGAGAGGGACAACCACUGGAAACGGUGGCUAAUACCCCAUAUUGCUGAGAAGUGAAAUGAUGAAUAAUCGCCAAGAGAUGGGCUUGCGGCUGAUUAGCUUGUUGGUGAGGUAAUGGCUUACCAAGGCGAUGAUCAGUAGCUGGUCUGAGAGGAUGAUCAGCCACACUGGGACUGAGACACGGCCCAGACUCCUACGGGAGGCAGCAGUGAGGAAUUUUCCGCAAUGGGCGAAAGCCUGACGGAGCAAUGCCGCGUGAAGGAUGAAGGCCUAUGGGUUGUAAACUUCUUUUCUCAGAGAAGAAAUUUUGACGGUAUCUGAGGAAUAAGCAUCGGCUAACUCUGUGCCAGCAGCCGCGGUAAGACAGAGGAUGCAAGCGUUAUCCGGAAUGAUUGGGCGUAAAGCAUCUGUAGGUGGCUUGAAAAGUCUCCUGUCAAAGAUCAGGGCUUAACCCUGGGCCGGCAGGAGAAACUCUCAGGCUAGAGUUUGGUAGGGGCAGAGGGAAUUCCCGGUGGAGCGGUGAAAUGCGUAGAGAUCGGGAGGAACACCAAAGGCGAAAGCACUCUGCUGGGCCAUUACUGACACUGAGAGACAAAAGCGAGGGGAGCAAAUGGGAUUACAUACCCCAGUAGUCCUCGCCGUAAACGAUGGAGACUAGGUGUUGGAUGGGUUCAAAUCAUUCAGUACCCUAUCUCACGCGUGAAGUAUCCCGCCUGGGGAGUAUGCUCGCAAGAGUGAAACUCAAAGAAUUGACGGGGGCCCGCACAAGCGUGGAGCAUGUGGUUUAUUCGAUGCA